AUUGAACGCUGGCGGCCGGCCUAACACAUGCAAGUCGAGCGGAGCGGCGGACGGGUGGGUAAUGCCUAGGAAUCUGCCUGGUAGAGGGGGAUAACGUCAGGAAACGGGCGCUAAUACCGCAUACUAUCAGAUGAGCCUAGGUCGGAUUAGCUAGUUGGUGGGGUAAAGGCCUACCAAGGCGACGAUCCGUAACUGGACUGAGAGGAUGAUCAGGCACACGGUAACUGAGACACGGUCCAGACUCCUACGGGCGGCAGCAGUGGGGAAUAUUGGACAAUGGGCGAAAGCCUGAUCCAGCCAUGCCGCGUGUGUUAAGAAGGUCUUCGUAUUGUAAAGCACUUUAAGUUGGGAGGCGUUACCAACAUAAUAAGCACCGGCUAACUUCGUGCCAGCAGCCGCGGUAAUAC
rnacentral:rRNA from 1 species